UCAGGGCGCAGGCACAACCUAGGACUCAACAGAGCAGCUCUGACAGAUCUUGUUGCAGAAGGAUAAGGCACUGCACUGCUCCCACUCAUUUCACGUAUCCCUGUGUCUUACAUUUCAGCUCCCAGCAGCAGCAGAGGCAGGUGUGCACUCAGGUUUUAUUUAAUGUUCUUUUCAAGGGAAAAGACUCUAGCAAGCACAUCUUGUUUGGGAUAUGCACCUGGACUGGAAUAAUAUCACUGUAGCCAAAGCAACCUUGAUGGCCCAGAAACCUGGGAGGAACUCCAAAGACUGAGAGGAUGAGGAAGAUGAGAAAGAAAGGAGUCUUGAGGCCUCCAACUCAAUUCUAGGGUGGUGUGCCAGGGGGCACAUCUGGGGAGGUCCUGGGACAGACAGUUCUCAGACUGGACGGAUUAGUACUAUAAAACUGUAGAACUCCUGGACACUCACAUGCACUUUAUGUAUUUGCUGCAGCAUAAAGUCCUUUAUUAAAAGAACUGUUUUCUGCCUUUCCU